rnacentral:rRNA from 1 species
CUACGGGGGGCAGCAGUCGAGAAUCUUCGGCAAUGGGCGAAAGCCUGACCGAGCGAUGCCGCGUGCGGGAUGAAGGCCUUCGGGUUGUAAACCGCUGUCAACGAGGAGGAAAUGCAGGGGGGUUCUCCCUUCUGUUUGACCUAUUCGAGGAGGAAGUACGGGCUAAGUUCGUGCCAGCAGCCGCGGUAAGACGAACCGUACAAACGUUAUUCGGAAUUAUUGGGCUUAAAGGGUGCGUAGGCUGUGCAGAAAGUUGGGUGUGAAAGCCCUCGGCUCAACCGAGGAAUUGCGCCCAAAACACUGUGCUCGAGGGAGACAGAGGUGAGCGGAACUCAAGGUGGAGCGGUGAAAUGCGUUGAUAUCUUGAGGAACACCGGUGGCGAAAGCGGCUCACUGGGUCUCUACUGACGCUGAGGCACGAAAGCCAAGGUAGCAAACGGGAUUAGAUACCCGUGUAGUC